GUGAAUCAUCGAAUCUUUGAACGCAAAUUGCACUCUCUGGUAUUCCGGAGAGUAUGCCUGUUUGAGGAUCAGUAUAAAUAAAAAUCGAGGUGUUGCUUAUGGUGACGCCAUCGGAAGUGGGUGAUCUUUAAUCUUAAUAAAGGUGAAAAGUGACGUAAAAUUGAUGAUACCUUGUGCAUCUCAAUACGUACAUAAGAAUUUUUUUUUUAUUAGUCCGGUAUUUUCCGAUU
rnacentral:misc_RNA from 1 species